CUCCAUUUUAAUGCAAAACCUUUUACAUUUUUAUUUUAUGGGUUAUUGUUGAAGGUCGUACGAUGACGUAUGGUUGUUAACACAUACUUCCUUUGGUUUCUUAUGGAAAGUCCAUUGACAACAAACAUACCACAUCAUCUACUUUAUAUAAGUAUUGUAUAAAUUACAACGUAUUUUGGUGAUCUUGCAAAAUGAUCGUAAUCCCGAAAAUCGUAAACAUAUUUUCUUAUCUUAAAAGGGGACAAGAAGGGUUCCAUAAACAGGCC
rnacentral:lncRNA from 1 species